AUCAUUGAUGGCGUUUGAUAAGAAAAACAAAAUAAUGACGUACUAUUAGUCGCUUGCCGUUCACUCACCUCCAUGACUAAAAACCAUUAAUGGCGUUUCAACAUCUUUAAUCUCUCGCGAAUUAGAGACGGAUCGAUAUUCUUCCUCUUUGCAAGCAGGUUCUUCUUCGUUGCGAGCGGCAACUUCAGGCACUUGAAGGUCAAUAAUGAAACAUCGAGUACCAUCCGAUGGACAUACCAAGACCUAACUAAAAGCACCAGACAUCAAUUUCUUCAAGCCCAGGGGUUGAGGAAAUCCUCAAACAUGGAACAUCUCGUCUCAAGAAGAACCAAUGCAAAGCCACGGUGCAUUUUUAAUCUCUACCAAUUGUCACCCCGUGUGAGUGUGACGAUUGGGAAGUACUUCUAGCAGCCUGCUCUGAAGCAUUUGCCAGGCCUUGCAGCAUUCUCAAAAUCUCAGAUGUGUCUUCCAGGUAGUACUUGGCCUUACUCGGCUUUUGCCCAACAGUGCAAGGGAAUACCUCAGCAACUGGUGAAAGAGUAGGUCCUGCCCUGGCACUCAUUAUCACCUCAAACAUGUCUUCAUCUGACCGGUCAUCUCCAAUGCAGAGAACAAAAUCAGGAAGCAUUCCCUUCUGUUGCAUUGUCUCGAGGAGGCAUUGUGCCACGACCCCUUUGUUCACACCCUGCAUGAGGUAAGCAAUUAGUAAAUUUAUUAAAUUUAAGCUGCAAAUCGAGACUUUAUUGCUGUGGCAACCACACAAAGACAUAUCAGCCUAUGUCACUGCCUUCAAAGAGUCGAAAGUGAGAGAGACAGACUGAGAAUAGAUCCUCAGCAAUUCCUUACAGGACAAACAUUUUCAAGCCGCUGAUAUGUACUAAUGUAAAUUCAUUAUGCAUUUUUAAAAUAUAAACCGAUUCUUAUAAAAAGAAACACUGAAGAAAAAUAAUAUUUUGUGGGAGUUAGUCAAAAA